UUGGUACUCCCUCCGUUCUGAAUUACUUGUCUUAGAUUUGUCUAGAUACGGAGGUAUCUAGCACUAAAAUGAGUCUAGAUACAUCCGUAUCUAGACAAAUCCAAGACAAGUAAUUCGGAACGGAGGGAGUAGGUG
rnacentral:pre_miRNA from 1 species